rnacentral:tRNA from 1 species
GCCCUGGUGGUCUAGCGGUAUGAUUCUUCCUUAGGGUUAUUGAGCGAUCAAACACCAUCUUGGAAGAGGCCCCAGGUUCGAAUCCUGGCCAGGGCC